UGGGAUGUCGCCAAGCGGUUAAGGCAACAGGUUUUGAUCCUGUCAUUCGUAGGUUCGAUCCCUACCAUCCCAGCCA
rnacentral:tRNA from 2 species